rnacentral:rRNA from 1 species
UAACGUACCCAUCAGAGGGGGAUAACAACUUGGAAACAGGUGCUAAUACCGCAUAACAGUUUAUGCCGCAUGGCAUAAGAGUGAAAGGCGCUUUCGGGUGUCGCUGAUGGAUGGACCCGCGGUGCAUUAGCUAGUUGGUGAGGUAACGGCUCACCAAGGCCACGAUGCAUAGCCGACCUGAGAGGGUGAUCGGCCACACUGGGACUGAGACACGGCCCAG